CCGGGCUGCGCGCGAACUCUCCUCCUCCCUUACCCCCUCGGUUCUCGUUUGGGCUCGUCCGCUCCCCCCUUCCCCUGCGCGCGGGGACCCUCAGGCCGGCGCGUACCAUUCGCGGGCGGGGGACAUCCUUCACUAGGAGCGUGGCGAGGCAGUGGAACAGGUUGCCCAGAGAAGUGAGGGCUGCCCCAUCCCUGGAGGUGUUGGAGGCCGCGUUGAAUGGGGCCUUGAGCAACCUGGUGUAGUAAGAGGUGUUGCUGCCCAUGGCGGGGGGUUGGAACUGCAUGGGCUUUUAAGGUCCCUUCCAAUCCAAACCGUUCUGCGAUUCUAUGAAAGGGAUCUGAUCUGCAUUAGGAAACCUUAAUAUCUUAUUGUUGCCACCAGUGAUUUAUCCUCACUGUGGAGAGGGCAUGUUAAAGCAACUGGUAGCACUUUGCUCCACAGCCUCCCUUCCCCUUCAGAGAAGGAGAUGCUUAAAAUGCCAGUAGGUGCUGGAAGACCAAAUGCUCUUGCUUCCCAAACCUGCUGCCACCAGCAAACAGAACAGCAGUGGCGGUGGGAUAUGGUGAGUGCGGUUUGAAGGCAAACAUGUGGUGUAAGCUGGAGGUUAUUCUGUUAUUAACCUGAAAUGUAGCUGAGCUGCGAUGGAGAUUGUUCCGUCUGCAGUAUCAGCCCAGAUUGGCACAGCGCUUUGUCAGGUUUGGUUACAGAAAGCGAGACUGGCAAGGCUCACGCAAGGCCAGUGUUCAGUUGAGCAAAAGUCUCGGCAGAGAUGGCUAUGAUUUGAUAUUCAAACCAGUCAAGGGAAAUAGGAGACUGAAAUACUGGCAUGCUGAGAGUAAAGGAAUCUAGUGGGGUUUUAAACUUGGGAAAUGCCUGUUAUUUUUGUGUUCAUUGUGAUCUUGUGUUCUGUACCUUAAUAAAUCAGGGAAAAAGGCCCUUGGGCUGUUCCUUCCGCCUUCUGUGCAAACUGUUGUAUUUACUGUGUACUAGCUAGGUACUUCUUGGAAGUAUUUUGGGGAAUACGAUAGGAAAGCUCUGCCACAACAAAAUGAUUUAUUUCUGUCUGGAAGGGAAUGGAGAAAAGCUUUUAAAGAAGUGAUAGAAGGCCGUAGCUUGGGUUCUUAGUCUUGCGCACUAGUAGGUCAGAAGGGCAGAAAUACUGCUGAGUUUCUGGACAGAUAGAGAAUGUGUGUUUUCUUCCUAACGUGCAGUUAGGUUACUCUCAUUCUUCUCGCUGAUGAGAAUCUUUUUUGACAGCUAAUGAGACUAUUUUGUUUCUCUUGCAGGUUUUCAUUUCGGUGCAGGUCUCCUCUUGGUGGCAAGCGCUGCCUUUUGAAGCCGCACGUUCAUUCUUCCCCUUCAAGCACCGUAAGUCUCGUUCGCCAGCCUCAGAACCAUGGCAACAGAAGAAAAGAAGCCAGAUGCAGAAUCCACCAAAACACAAGCUGCUGACAAACUCAUUAAAAUUUGGGGCGCAUACGACGGCAAGUUUGAAAAAACAAUAUCUGGUCAUAAACUGGUAAGUGUGAAGAGAUUUCUGUGCGCUUGAAUGCAAAUCUGCUUGGAAUGAAUUUUGCUUGCUUUUCCUCAUCCAGAAAUUUCCGUUCUUGGUUAGACUUGUGUAGAGGGCUUGUUCUUUGGUCUCGUUUUGUACUUUGUUGUUUAUACAGCCCUGCACAACAGUCUGGGACUGGAAUUGCUGAAGUAAUACCGAGUCAGGCUGGAAAUAUGGGUGAAGCACAGGCUGAUAGUGGAAUGCUUGUGUGCACGCUGCCUCGCCAUUUUCUUGAGUCCCCCCAUUUCAGAAACACCAACCUCAGGCACGAUGCAGUUCGUUCUUGGGUGAAAAUCCCUGUAAGCUGUAACGCCCUGUCCUUUUCCGUCUUUCCUUUGUAUAUGGGGCAGAAUGGCUUGCCUUUUAAGGAGACUGAAUUUUUCUUGAACACCUUGCGUGCCUCGAAUAGGUCCAUCAUUAAACCACCUUGUGCAUUUCUUCAAUCUUCAGUUCGACGAAAGCGUGAGGAUAUGGGAUGUGAAAACAGGGAAGUGCCUCAAGACGUUGCCUGCUCAUUCUGACCCAGUUUCAGCCGACAGGGGAUUACUGAUUUAUUGCCAUCUUUACAUAACACAAGUCCAAAAGGGAAUCAACUCUUUCAAGCAACCGCACCGGUGGAGGUACUGCGAGCUCUGUUUAUGCUGAUCUCUUGACCAGUCUCAUCUUCAUGCUUUGUUUGCUGAGAUCAGUGUCUCAGCACUGAUGCAGGCAGUGGAUCUCCUGGCUGGACUCCACAGGCAGUCCACGAGAUGAGCAGAUUUGCUUUCCCAGUGGUCAAAAUUGUUCCCUGAGCCCCACCAGUAUGAAAGGAAGGCAGUUCCUCAGGAUCAGAUAUGAGUGGAAAAGCCUGUGACAACCAGGACUGUGAUUCUGCUGGAUCCAAAACGUGGCAUCUUGACAAGACUGCAGCUCUCCAGACAUGCUGUGCUGCUGGUAAAGCUGGCCUCUGCCUACCAAAGGUUUGCGUAGGUGUCUGAGCUGCCUUCCUGCACUGCAAGAAUCAUCUCAGUGCAGGUAUUGAUCGCGGAGGUGCUCGUCAGCUGGAAUAUGCAGGAGCGGGAGGAGGGCAGCACUGUUAAUUGGCAGUGGUGUGACUGAGGCAGAAACAACCAGGCUGUUCUCAGCAACGUUUGGAACCAGCAGGCAGUUUUCGCCACAUCCAAAUAAGAAUCUGUGCAGAGGGUGCGUAGGAGAUAUGAGCACUGAUCCUUCUCCGUCUCGUCAUUGGGGCGGUGGAGGAAGCACAAACCACCCCCCAGCAACUGUUCCCUCAAGCACGUACACUCCAGUUGCACAUGAAUGUUGGACUUCCUUUCUGGUAGCUGCCCUGCGGUGUCUCUCUCCAGGUUGAAACCGUGCCCAGGGGGUGGCAGCAGGAUCACGAGCAGCCGGUACGUGAUGGUGUUCUGGACACACCAGGUUUCAUGGGUGCCAUCCAUCUCGGUGGCUAGGCACAUCUGCGGCAUGGAAGUGCUCUUGCAGAUCACUCUGCAGACACCAAGGAGGUCAUCCACCAGUUCUUUCAUCAUGUUGUGUGUGCUCAGCAGGCCCUGCCUUGUCAAAAGGGUGGACGCAGCCAAAGACCUGACAUCUCCUUCUGCACUGUUGAGGUCCUCCUCCUCCUUGUGGUCGUCCUUCUUGGUGAUGGAGCCGUGCUGCUUGCUGCAGCUAUCAAAGUUACGCUUCAUUUUUCUGACUAUCCGUCCCACGAGAGUGAGCAGGACCAGGACUCCUGCAGCAACCCAAAGCUUAUGCACAGAAAGGAGCGAGGCUUCCAAUGCAGCCCUGAUCCGUUCACUCUCGUCCAGCAGCUGAAUCAUCUUCUGCAGUUCCUCUUCAUAUUGCUUUAUCCGCUUAUCCGUGUCGGCAUCAGUGUGCUCAUCGCUGUUCUGGCCAUGCUGGCCAGCCAACAGAGCCAGGAUGAGGGCAGUUAAGAGCGGCAUCGCCUGGAGGAGGUGGGCAGAAUUGGGGUUGAUCAGGGUUUGUGAGCACUGCAGGGAUGGGAGCCAUGGGCUGUCCCAGCACAGUGUACAAGGACUGGUGUCCGCAGGCUUGAAGGGGCCGCAGGCCCUGGCUGAAGGCAGCAUGGGGCCCAUCCUGCCCUGAUGGCCAGCCCCUGGCUGGGCUUCGCCCUGUGAAAGGGCGAGGGACACUCAAGUAGUCUCCUGAGGCCUCAUCCCUGCCACACAACAGCAUCCCAUGGAGCCACUAGCACCCACCAUAUCCCCGCAGCCUCUCUGGGCACCUGCCACCCCUAGGAGCCCGAACAUCUCUGCCCUCAGCCCUGAGGAUGGCACCGUACCCUGCCCGGAGACUCUUCCUCUGGAUUAGAAACCCUUUGGGCACCUGCCCCAUCCUCAUCCAUCCCAGCCUUCCUCUUACCUUCACUCACCCAAAUCAAAUGGCAGUGGGGCUUCGUGGUGGUGGUGUACUUGGGGGCAGCCCCCAUUGUGACCUCACCAGAGCAGCAUCACCGCUUACCAAUCCCUGGGCCCUGAUGAGAUGCACCCAUGAGUGCUGAGGGAGCUGGCAGAUGUUAUUGUUAAGCUGCUCUCCAUCAUCUUUGAAGGAUGGAGAACAGGAGAGGUGCCUGAGGACUGGAGAAGAGCUAAUAUCACUCUAGUCUUCAAAAGGAAGGAUGGAAAGUACAGGUGGACAUCAAGUUAACCCUGAGCCAGCACUGUUGCCCUCCUUCUGCAUCUGAGCAGGCAGCAACCUGCUACCUGCCCACAUUCCCCAACAAAGUGUUGCGCUGACCUUCACAGGACAGGUGAUUACUGAUUUAUUGCCAUCUUUACAUAACACCAUCCAUCUCGGUGGCUAGGCACAUCUGCGGCAUGGAAGUGCUCUUGCAGAUCACUCUGCAGACACCAAGGAGGUCAUCCACCAGUUCUUUCAUCAUGUUGUGUGUGCUCAGCAGGCCCUGCCUUGUCAAAAGGGUGGACGCAGCCAAAGACCUGACAUCUCCUUCUGCACUGUUGAGGUCCUCCUCCUCCUUGUGGUCGUCCUUCUUGGUGAUGGAGCCGUGCUGCUUGCUGCAGCUAUCAAAGUUACGCUUCAUUUUUCUGACUAUCCAUCCCACGAGAGUGAGCAGGACCAGGACUCCUGCAUCACCCCAAAGCUUAUGCACAGAAAGGAGCGAGGCUUCCAAUGCAGCCCUGAUCCGUUCACUCUCGUCCAGCAGCUGAAUCAUCUUCUGCAGUUCCUCUUCAUACUGCUUCAUCCGCUUAUCCAUGUCGGCAUCAGUGUGCUCAUCGCUGUUCUGGCCAUGCUGGCCAGCCAACAGAGCCAGGAUGAGGGCAGUUAAGAGCGGCAUCGCCUGGAGGAGGUGGGCAGAAUUGGGGUUGAUCAGGGUUUGUGAGCACUGCAGGGAUGGGAGCCAUGGGCUGUCCCAGCACAGUGUACAAGGACUGGUGUCCGCAGGCUUGAAGGGGCCGCAGGCCCUGGCUGAAGACAGCAUGGGGCCCAUCCUGCCCACGCUGCCCUGAUGGACAGCCCCUGGCUGGGCUUCGCCCUGUGAAAGGGCGAGGGACUUUUCAACAGUGUUGAACGACUGGAGGGGGAAAGGAGCAAUGGCACCAACUGGAGCAAGGGAAGUUCCAUUCACUGGAACCAGGAAAUACGUGGAAUUUCCUCUGGAGAUACCCAAAACCUGCUGGGACACGAUCCUAUGCAACCUGUUCAAGGUGACCCUUCUUUGGCAUCGAGGUUGGGCUGAAUGAGCUCCAGAGCGUCUUUUCAACUCUCACCAUUCUAUGGCUCUGUGAUACGCAAGCUGCCUUUUUAUUGCAAGAUACAAUAAAAAUAUUUGCAAUCUUUAAAUGAAUUUCCGAAUUGAUUUUGUCAUAUAAGCUUUACAGACAAGAUACAACAAACUGCCUGUUCUGAAAUACCUUAAGUUUUUCUAUUAAAAAAAACUACAGCAGCAGCUUUUUACUAUUUCUUCUUCCUUCUCCUCAAACUCAGAGGAGCACCCUAAUCCCACCAAAGGCCUUUUGAUUAGCCUCUGUGGUCUCUUAUGUAAUCUCUUUCAUAGAUCGCGCUACCAACCUUUGGAAACAUAGUAAUAAAAUAAAAACACCUAAAGCAUAUACGACCAUUUUUACAAGGCUUCUCAACCACCCUGAAAGUCCCCAUCCUUCAAAGAGUUUAUCUAACCAGUCCCAACUAUCACUCUGUUGUAAUUUGGAGACUCCAGCCUUAAGCUGUUGAAUGCUCGCAUGAAUAGAUUCCGAGUGGUCGGAUUCCAGUCUUGUUUAAGGACAGCCCAUAUAGCGGGUACCAAAUUUGUCGUACUACACUCUAGGUCACAAACAAUAACUUCCCGGGCCCUUCUUUGCACUAAACUAGCCCAGCUAACGCUCUCAGUGAAGUAUCGAUCCUGUUCUGCCCUGUAAUCAAUAAAGAGUCGUACAGUAUCGAUUUCUUUUUCUAAACAGUCUUAACAUACACACAAAACCCAAGGUUCACAAGAUCUACAUAAAGCGCAAAUGAUUCCAGCGACAGGUGUUUCUCUGCCCUGGUUCAUACAGUUUUUCCAAGCUUCCAGUGUUCAGCCCGAUCUUCCUCCGUGAGUUCUUCAAAUGGUUGUUCGGGGGACUGGUCCCGAGGAUGAUUGAGGUUUUCACCAGAUAGUUGCUGUAAGGACUCACGGAAGGGUCGCACAUUCUUUGCCGGGAUCCAUCGGGGGCCAUUUUCUAUAGAGACACGAGCAUAGCCUCUCCCCCAUGUAACUCACUUAACGACAGUUUCCUGCCAUUCAACAACAAGUACCGGCGAUCAAGCCAGCAAUCUAUGUUAAAAGUUCUUAUCUCCCGCCCUCCCAGGGCCUGUGGCCGACAAGCUCCAGCACAUCUGCCUUUAUCAACUGAUCCGUGCUGGGGGGUUUCUUGAAGCCAGACAGAUCCUGUCCAACAGUGUAUUUAUUCUUGUUAUAUUUUAUUUUUAUAAUAAUAAUUAUAUUAUUUAUUAUAAUUUUAUUCUUAUAAAUAAUUAUAUUUUUAUAAUUAAUUAUAUUAUUAUUAUUAUAAUAAAUAAUAACAAGAAAACCCCCAGAACGAUGGGUGCAUCCCAUCAGGGCCUGGGGAUUGGUAAGCAGUGAUGCUGCUCUGGUGAGGUCACAAUGGGGGCUGCCCCCAAGUACACCACCACCACGAAGCCCCACUGCCAUUUGAUUUGGGCGAUGCCGCUCUUAACUGCCCUCAUCCUGGCUCUGUUGGCUGGCCAGCAUGGCCAGAACCGCGAUGAGCACACUGAUGCCGACAUGGAUAAGCGGAUGAAGCAGUAUGAAGAGGAACUGCAGAAGAUGAUUCAGCUGCUGGAGGAGAGUGAACGGAUCAGGGCUGCAGAGGAAGCCUCGUUCCUUUCUGUGCAUAAGCUUUGGGUUGCUGCAGGAGUCCUGGUCCUGCUCACUCUCGUGGGAUGGAUAAUCAGAAAAAUGAAGCGUAACUUUGAUAGCUGCAGCAAGCAGCACGGCUCCAUCACCAAGAAGGAUGACCACAAGGAACAGAGUUGAACAGCUCUGGUUUUCCUGUAUUUGAAUGGAUGUUGCUGUUUUCCUAACUCCUUUUACCUACUAAACGAAUGAGAUUUG